AAUAGCGAGAGUUAAUAGCGAGAGACUGAGAGCAGAGAGAAGCGUGAGAGAGUUGAGCGAGAAGCGGUAGAGAGUAGAGUUGUAAGCGGUGGAGAGCGUAGAGACUGUAAUAGAGUUGGCGAGAAGUCUGUAGGAGAGAAGAGCGCGGAAUAAAGACGUUGGAAGAGGAAAAAGCGAGUCAAGCCAUUCUGACCCCGCCUGCACCUUCGUUGCUCCCGUUCGGCGUUUGUGGGGAGGCCAAGAAGCGGAGCAAACCAAACUGGUCGCCCCCACAUACGAACAUAAAGCAGACUGGAGAAGGGUUAACAAUGGCCGGCAUUCGGAUCUUUCUGAUUUUAACUCUCAAGAACUAGAAAUGUUCUAUUACAGGACACGACUUUAUCCGCCCCGACUGGUGCUUAUUAAGGCGAUUGUAACCUAAUAAUAGGCAACAGUUACGGGGCCCGAUAGUGGUAUUGGCACAGGCAUGUUUCAUCAAAACAUUCCCCCUCCAACUGGCCCUCAGGUGCCAGAGGCUUGGCCUAAUUUUUGGGUCAAGUGACGGGAUAUUUUGGAGUGAUGAUGAAGGGGAGACUGAGAAAAAGUUGAGAAGACUAAAGCCCGACAAUUACAUAGCGGCGGUUGUUCCUGACUUUUAGCGAAUUUUAACAUGCAAAUUUUUCUAAAAAGAGAUCACGUAGUGUUCUACGACCGAAGUUGCCCUUAAGGACCGUAUUUGCUGACCUAUACACGUAGCAUAGGAAAAAUAAGGACAUCGUUUUAUUUGAAAUACAACGAUUAAUAUUUUAACAUAAAAAAUAUGCAACGUGAAGUCCCAUCGUCUUGGCUCUUUGUUGCUAAGGUCCGGACUGACGAAGCGAUGACAAGAGCAAGGGUCAGGAGUGAAAGGGAGGGUGAGUCGUAGUAGAGAGAGACCUAAACGUGAG